rnacentral:rRNA from 1 species
CAGUAGCCGCGGGAAUACGAAGGGGGCUAGCGUUGUUCGGAAUUACUGGGCGUAAAGCGCACGUAGGCGGAUAUUUAAGUCAGGGGUGAAAUCCCAGAGCUCAACUCUGGAACUGCCUUUGAUACUGGGUAUCUUGAGUAUGGAAGAGGUGAGUGGAAUUCCGAGUGUAGAGGUGAAAUUCGUAGAUAUUCGGAGGAACACCAGUGGCGAAGGCGGCUCACUGGACCAUUACUGACGCUGAGGUGCGAAAGCGUGGGGAGCAAACAGGAUUAGAUACCCCGGUAGUCCCUGUCUCUUAUAC